rnacentral:rRNA from 1 species
GACUUCUGGUUUAAUGCACCUGGCCCGCAGCCAACAGGUUUGUGAGUGCCGGCGCGCGUUUACCAUCCUUCCAGGAAACGAGUCUUCCCUUAACUGGGCCGGACUCGGGAUCUGGAUCAUUUACUUUGAAAAAAUUAGAGUGUUUAAAGCAGGCUUUUGCUAUGAAUACAUUAGCAUGGAAUAAUAAUCUAGGACUUCGGUUCUAUUUUGUUGGUUUCUGUCAGUGGAUUCGGUCAAGACUAACUUAUGCGAAAGCAUU